AGGGCACCACCAGGAGUGGAGCCUGCGGCUUAAUUUGACUCAACACGGGGAAACUUACCCGGCCUGGACACUGGAAGGAUUGACAGAUUGAGAGCUCUUUCUUGAUUCAGUGGGUGGUGGUGCAUGGCCGUUCUUAGUUGGUGGAGCGAUCUGUCUGGUUAAUUCCGAUAACGAACGAGACUCUAGCCUAUUAAAUAGGCUCUCGGCUUUUAAACGCCGGGAGGACUUCUUAGAGGGACAGGUGGCGGUUCAGCCGCACGAAAGAGAGCAAUAACAGGUCUGUGAUGCCCUUUGUUGUCCGGGGCCGCACGCGCGCUACACUGAAGAGAUCAGCGUGCUUUACGUUCCUGCUCCGACCGGAGUGGGGAACCCAGUGAACCUUCUUCGUGAUUGGGAUAGAAGAUUGUAAUUAUUCUUCUUGAACGAGGAAUUCCCAGUAAAUGCGAGUCAUAAGCUCGCGUUGAUUACGUGCCAGUCCUUUGUACACACCGCCCGUCUCUACUACCGAUUGAACAAUUU
rnacentral:rRNA from 1 species